AAAUUUUUUUGGGCGUGCUUUGGUCGAAGAUAUUUUCCAGAGAUAUCGGCAUAUGAUGGAUUUUGGGGGCAAGAUCGGUAAGGCGAGAGGUAAAAAUCGAUCAUUCCCUUGGGCAUUGAUACCCGAUCACCGUUUGAUUUUAUUCAUAAUUUGCAAGUUCAUCCCUUUCGUUCCAUGGAUCUGAAAUUUGAAAUACUGAUGAGAUUUAGAUUUGAGAUAUUAAGGGUUUCUGAUCUAAUUUGAAAUAAUUAAGGAUUCUUGAUAUGUCUAUCUAGCUAUUUCAAGAAUAAUCUGAUUUGUUGUUUUGUAAACCACGCAUAAAAUCUAGUGAUCAAGUUUUUUGUAGUGAUUAAAAAUAACACCAGUUGAAAUGGUCACUGAAACUAAGUUGAAAUAUAGGAUUAAUGUUAUUAUUAGAAUUUAGAACACUGUGAAUUGUAGUUUGGUUAAAUCGUAGUUUUUUGUAGUUAUUGAAAAUAACACUAGUUGAAAUGAUCACUGAAACUAAGUUGAAAUACAGGAUUAAUGUUAUUAUUAGAACACUGUGGACUGUAGUUUGGUUAAUUCGUAGUUGUACUAGAGUUUCUAUUCAACUAUGUGUAUGGUAGUAUGACUAUGGUGUCUGGGAAUCCUGGAUCCACCAAUGGUAUGAUGUAUACCAACCAGUCGAUCUGAUUGGACUUUAAUAGCUACAAUUCUUACAAUCUUUAACUAAAUACUAGUUGAUGGUUGUUAUUUGUCUGUCUUAAAAAUUCCGCCACAAGCUUUGAAAAUGCAGUGGUUUUAUCUUCAAGAAGCUUUCUAGGGGAGUCGUAUUCCAAAACUUUUCCUGCAUCAAAAAUGAUUUUGUUCAGCUCAUGAAUAAAGAGAAACUAUUUGAUUCAGAGUGGUUCGACAUGAAAUGAUAUAUAUACCUUCAUCAAGAACAAGAACUAGGUCAUUGUCAAUUAUAGUGGCGAUUCGAUGAGCCACUGAGAUGACAGUGCAAUUUCCAGUUUCUUCUCGUAUUGUCUUUUGAAUCACAUUAUCUGUUGCAGUAUCCACUGAAGCUGUGGCCUCAUCUAACACGAGAAUUCGUCUCUUCUUUAGCAAAGCCCUUGCAAGACAAACCAACUGUCUUUGACCCACACUCCAAUUCUCCCCAUUUUCCGCAACUGCAUGGUAAGUCCCUUAUUCAUGUUAGCAUAUUUAAAUCAAUCAUAUUUAUGUUAAUUGUAGUUGAUGAAUUGAGUUCUUGUCAUCCUUUUUAUACCGGGUGCAUCAAGAAGUCUGUCAUCUUUUUUGACUAUUUCCCCAAGAUAGCACCUCUUCAAAGCCUAAAUAUGGCAAAAAUACGUUUCAGAAAAUAGGAGGAAGAAACUAAGAAAGAUGGAAAGAAUUUUUUUUGCACACCUCCCAUAUAUCUAAAUCAGUAUGCUCUUGCAGAGGAUCCAAAUUAGUUCUCACUGUUCCUUGAAAUAACGAGGGAUCUUGUGGAAUAAUACUCAGUCUAGAUCUUAGAUCAUGUAAUCCGAUUUGUGUUAUAUCCAUUCCAUCUAUAAUAAUCCUUCCUUGGGAUGGUUCGACAACCCUGAAAAAGGCUUGGAUGAGGGUAGACUUUCCACUUCCAGUUCUACCAACAACUCCAAUUUUCUUUUUCCCUGGAAAUAUACAACUGAGUCCUUUGAGAACCAUAGGCAUAUCUGAACUGUAACGAACAUGGAGAUCAUCAAGCUCUAUUGUUCCUAUCAUUGGCCACUCCGGUACUGGUCUACAUUCCUCAAUGAUUGCUGGUGCUUCACUUUUUAAUCUUGAAAAUUGUAGAAUUCUCUCCACAGAAAUCAUCUUAUUCUCGACGUUGCAUAUAUUCCAUAUAACCCAUGCCUGCAACACAUUUAAGCUCAGACCAUAUGUCGUGGCAAGUCCUGCAAGACCUGGAAAUCACAGUUUUACAAUAACCCUCGAGAAUUCGGGAUAUAUAAGCUAUAAUAUGGAAAAGAAGAAAAAUUAGCAGUUAGUCGGUUACUUGGAUCAAUGGUGGAUUUUGGAACAGUCACAAGGAUGAUUAAUUCAACAAAGAAAACUAUAUUGAAGAGGAAGUUAAUCCGGAUACUGAGCCAUUCCAUUGUUGCAUUGUUAUGGAAUGUAAUUCGAGAAUAGUCAUCUAUCAAGGCAAGAUUUUGAGAAAAGAAACGGGUUUCCUGACUGAAGCAGCGGAUGGUUGUAGCUCCAGCAAUGGACUCUGAGAAGUGAUGGAGUAUUGGAGCUUUUCUUACUGCAACCAUCCUAGCUAGUUCCGUUGCUGUGCUAAUAUAGUAGGCCUACAGCAAAAUCAAACCAAAUCAAAUCAAAUCCAAAGUUUCAAAUACUUUAGAUUUUGAAAUAUUUUUACUUACCUCAUAAUAAAAAGAGAUUGCAAGAACUAUAAUGAAGAGAAAAAUGAUUGGCCAUACAACUAGACACAUGAAAAGUAUGAUACCCAGAAGCUGAACAAGUGCAAAUAUCAACCCUCCCAAUCUGAAGGGGAUGUCUGUAUCCACAACACUUUGAUCUGCAGAAGCCUGACAUGUAAUUGUUCAGAUAUGUGGACCGAUUUCUUGUAUAUAAUAAUAGCCUUGUGUAUAUUUUCAAAGAAAAAAAAAAUCAAGACUUACUCUGUUCAAAAUUCUACUGGAAGGUGUGAAAUCAAAAAAAGAUAUAGGUGCUCGAAAGAUGCAUGUUGUCAUAUCAACAAAUAAUUUCUGAGCCGUCUCGAUAGCAACUGUUGAAAGUAAAACAGCCCUUCCGAAAAUAAAAAUAGAACUUGUCAGUGACAGCAGAAUGAACACAGUCAUCAACUUUCCCUGGCUUACUUUACCUUCUUUCUCAGUGCCCCAAGUAAUCCAGUAACUACUACCCAUUUGCAAACCCUGGAACAGAAGAUGACAUAGCAAGAUCACAGGAAUAAGAAUUCCUUUGUAUGCUAUACUCACAAAUUUGGAAUAAAUUUUCCAUUCCACUCUUCCUGAUUCUGUUUUUUCUCCGAAAUCUCCUUCCAAAUUCUCACUGCUCCUCCCACCUCCAUAGUUGGGCUUCUCUUUAACUUCGAUUUGGCACACUUGAUGUUUUGCACUAACUUGCAAACCAUGAUCUUUCGAUGGGGUAACUUGUCUUGUAGACUCCUCAUGUGCAGCUAUCAGACGGAUAAGCUCACCGUCAGCUUGUUUUAUCAAAUCUUCAUACUUUCCUUGUUGAACAAUCUUCCCUUCUUUCAUAACCUGAAGAAGAAUUAGUGUGAAAAUAAAUGCAGUCGAUUGAAGUCUGUAAUAAAUUUAAAGAAAAGUAGCACAAAAAUUACCAGAAUUAGAUCAGAAGAAUUCAAAAAUUCUAAUUGAUGAGUAACAUAGACAACAGUUUUUUCAGACAAGAGUCCCAUCAGGCAUUCCUGUAACACAUGUUCGAUUUAAUUUUUCCUGAAUGAGAAAAUUCCAGCAUGUAAUUAAUCAUAUAUACCUUGAAAAGAUGUCCUCCAGUGUGAGCAUCUACUGCACUGAAAGGAUCAUCUAACAAAUAAACAUCUGAAUUACUAUAUAUUGCUCUUGCCAGUUGAAUUCUUUGCUUUUGGCCGCCACUUACAUUCAUACCUCUUUCUCCAACAAGACACAUAUUUCCAUCUGUCCAUGACAUGAUAUCUUUAUCCAAAGCACAUGCUUCCAUAACCUUGUCAUAGAAACCUGUAUCCAUUUUGUUCCCAAAUAACACAUUCUCCCUGAUUGUACCGUUUUGAAUCCAUGCACUUUGAGGAGCAUAAGCUGUCGACCCAAACAUUUUAGUCCUUGCACCAGCCAUCCUUGGAAUCUCUUCCAUUAUGCUGCAUAUAAAGCUAGACUUGCCAGAUCCAACUGAACCACAGAUAGCGAUCUUUUCACCUCUUCUAAUGUGUAUCUUGUUGUCAAUUUUGAUUGUGGGUUUUCUUGAAUUGGAACCUAUCUCCCAACCAUAUUCCCCUGGUUUUAUCUCGAUGGUGAUAUCAGAUUUUUUUGAGUUUCUUUCACGUGAUGGUGAGCUUUGUUUGAUUUCCUCUUUGAUGAACUCCUCUAUUCGAUCAAUUGAGACUUUUGUUUGAGCAAUCAUAGAGACAAGCUCUGGUAGGUUGUAGAUUGGAUCCUGCAGAAUCCUAAAUGUGGCAAGAGCUGAAAGAACUGCUCCGGGUGUCAAUGGUGUUUUAGUAAUGAAACAAACACUAAAAGUGAUGACUGAAACAAAAGUAGGAGAUGUCCAGAAAAGGAAAGCAAUGGCAGAACGUGUGUAGAGGUACUUCUUUAUCCAACUUCUUUCGUUAUCUCUAAGAUGAAAGAGCUUGUUUAAAUAUGCAUUCUCCCAAGAAUGCAACUUUAAGAUUCUCAUGAAUUUCAAAGUCUCUGCAGUGUCUUUUAUCCUUGAAUCUUUGGCUUUCAUGAUCUUCAGAUGGAGCUUCUCCUAUAUGUUUGCCAGUGGAAUGUUGCUCACCAUCACAAUAACCGUCACCAUAAGAGCCGCAAUCGAAGCAGCUCCACCUAGAUUUAUGUGCAGAAUGAGCAAGGCCAACG
rnacentral:lncRNA from 1 species